AGGAAUCGUACCCCAAACCGACACAGGUGGUCGGGUAGAGAAUACCAAGGCGCUUGAGAGAACUCGGGUGAAGGAACUAGGCAAAAUGGUACCGUAACUUCGGGAGAAGGUACGCUCUUGAUGGUGAAGUCCCUCGCGGAUGGAGCUGACGAGAGUCGCAGAUACCAGGUGGCUGCAACUGUUUAUUAAAAACACAGCACUGUGCAAAAUCGCAAGAUGACGUAUACGGUGUGACGCCUGCCCGGUGCCGGAAGGUUAAUUGAUGGGGUUAGCGCAAGCGAAGCUCUUGAUCGAAGCCCCGGUAAACGGCGGCCGUAACUAUAACGGUCCUAAGGUAGCGAAAUUCCUUGUCGGGUAAGUUCCGACCUGCACGAAUGGCGUAAUGAUGGCCACGCUGUCUCCACCCGAGACUCAGUGAAAUUGAAAUCGCUGUGAAGAUGCAGUGUACCCGCGGCUAGACGGAAAGACCCCGUGAACCUUUACUACAGCUUGGCACUGAACAUUGAACCUACAUGUGUAGGAUAGGUGGGAGGCUAUGAAGACGUGACGCUAGUUGCGUUGGAGCCGUCCUUGAAAUACCACCCUUGUAUGUUUGAUGUUCUAACUUAGACCCGUUAUCCGGGUUGAGGACAGUGCCUGGUGGGUAGUUUGACUGGGGCGGUCUCCUCCCAAAGAGUAACGGAGGAGCACGAAGGUGGGCUAAUCACGGUUGGACAUCGUGAGGUUAGUGCAAUGGCAUAAGCCCGCUUAACUGCGAGAAUGACGGUUCGAGCAGGUGCGAAAGCAGGUCAUAGUGAUCCGGUGGUUCUGUAUGGAAGGGCCAUCGCUCAACGGAUAAAAGGUACUCCGGGGAUAACAGGCUGAUACCGCCCAAGAGUUCAUAUCGACGGCGGUGUUUGGCACCUCGAUGUCGGCUCAUCACAUCCUGGGGCUGAAGUCGGUCCCAAGGGUAUGGCUGUUCGCCAUUUAAAGUGGUACGCGAGCUGGGUUUAGAACGUCGUGAGACAGUUCGGUCCCUAUCUGCCGUGGGCGUUGGAAGAUUGAAGGGGGCUGCUCCUAGUACGAGAGGACCGGAGUGGACGAACCUCUGGUGUUCGGGUUGUGUCGCCAGACGCAUUGCCCGGUAGCUAAGUUCGGAAU
rnacentral:rRNA from 1 species